rnacentral:rRNA from 1 species
GUCUUCUAAAUAAAGACCAGUAUGAACGGCUAAAUGAGGACAAACCUGUCUCUAAUAACUAAUCAGUGAAACUGAUCUUCCAGUACAAAAGCUGGAAUCUACACAUAAGACGAGAAGACCCCGUGGAGCUUAAAACAAAGUACUAACUACCCCAAGCCCUAGUACCCUGUUUUGAGUUGGGGCGACUUCGGAAUAAAACAAAACUUCCGAGCACAGAACCACCAGUUCAAGCCAAGGCCAACAAGCCUAAGCAAAAAACAGACCCGGCCCAUGCCGACCAACGAACCAAGUUACCCCGGGGAUAACAGCGCUAUCUUCUUCAAGAGUCCCUAUCAACAAGAAGGUUUACGACCUCGAUGUUGGAUCAGGACACCCAAAUGGUGCAGCCGCUAUUAAAGGUUCGUUUGUUCAACGAUUAACAGUC